rnacentral:rRNA from 1 species
AGCGAACGCUGGCGGCAUGCUUAACACAUGCAAGUCGCACGGCACUUUCGGGAUCAGUGGCGGACGGGGGAGUAACGCGGCGGGAGCUAGCCAUGGGUAGGGGACACCACCGGGAAACUGGAGCUAAUACAGCAUGAUACAUGCGGGUAAAAGGCGCCAGUUGCCGGUGGAGGCACCUGCGUUCGGUUCGCUAGUUGGUGGGGUAAAGGCCUACCAAGGCGAUGAUCGAUAGCGGGUCUGAGAGGAUGAUCAGCCACACUGGCACUGAGACACGGUCCGGACUCCUACGGGAGGCAGCAGUGGGUAAUAUUGGACAAUCGGCGAAAGCCUGAUCCAGCUAUGCCGCUUGUGUGAAGAAGGUCUUCGGAUUGUAAAGCACGUUCGACGGGGACGAUGAUGACGGUACCCGUAGAAGAAGCCCCGGCUAACUUCGUG